ensembl:lncRNA
CAGAGAUCAGCUACCUGCUGCUCUUCAACGGCAGCAGCAUCUUUCAGAUAUAUCUGAGCAAGAAGCACGAUUCUGCAGAGAUUUUAUUCUCCACUCAGAUUGAAAUCACAGCUGAUAACAGUGGAGAGUUUAUCUGCAGGCAGGAAAAGACUUACCCUCCUCCAUUCAGACAGGACUGUUUGAGAACUGCAGUCAACGUUUCAGCAGAGCAGUCUAUGACGAGAGUCAACGCCACAGCUCCAUCAGCCAAUCAGAGCUGUCCGGACCGGUCUCCGUUAAUCCCAGAGGUGGUGAUGUGGACCGGAGGUGGAGUUCUAUUGGUCUAUAGCUUCACCAUCACCUGCAUUACUGUUGUUAUCUGGCGGCAGAAUCAGAAGCUGAAGAGAGACGAAGACACAAAGAUCUACAGCAACAUCAGACCUAAAGGAAUCAAGAAGCCUAAUAAAGCUUAACAGCAACUAGUGGAGAAAAUCCACCGCAAUGAAAGCUACGAAUGAUUAGUGGAAGACGACACUGAAUGUACAGAAGAAGGGUUUCUUUUAAACUGAAACAUGCAAAACCUACAUGAGAUAAAUCCUGCAAUAGAAAUAUGG